AACUGUAUAAGCUCAAUUUUUCCCAUCUUUAUUACAUUAAUUGCACACUGAAAUCCUACACCACAGACACCAGAUGGCGUUAAUGAGCAGCUGGUAGUUUGUUAGCAGCACGUGCAGUUGUAAAUCCUGCCCACUUGUUUGCAUUGUCACACAUGCUUCAGUGCUCUGAGAGUGUUUAUAGUGCUGUGAGUUUAACACUUCAUGACUGACACUGUUUAUCAAUAUAACAGACACAGCUAAAAUGUCAUUCAUCAUCUUCUUCCUGCUCUUAGGAAUGCAUUUUGAAGAUUCUACAGGACAGGUGACUGCAACUCAGACUCCCACAGAGAAACAUGUUCAGAACGGACACACAGUCACUCUGACCUGUAAGACCAGCAGCUCCAUUGGACGUCGGUCAGACGGUGACUGUAAGUCGUGUGUCUCCUGGUACCUUCAGAAACCUGGAGAAACACCUAAACUUUUAGUGCACAGCAUCAGGACCCUUGCGACUGAAACUCCAGCUAGAUUCAGUGGAAAUGGAGCCGAUUAUGGAACUGAUUUCACUCUGACCAUCAGUGGAGUCCAGACUGAAGAUACAGGAGAUUAUUACUGUCUGACUGUACACUAUAUUGGUAGUAGCUGGGUGUUCACACAGUGAUAAAGAGUGGUACAAAAACCUCGGUCAGUCAGACGUCACAGUGAUGCACUGAUACAGCUGAGAGAUACUGCAGCUGCUCAUACAACACAAUCACACACAACACUGAUCACAGACAAACACUAAUAACACUAGAUCAUCUAAAUCAACAUCAGUCUUGUUGAAGCUCACGAGUGUCUUACAGAUCAACUGUUGAUGUGAUGAUCUCUCAGCAUAGGAUCUUGAGGUCAAGAUGAUGUGGCCACAACAUUAUCAUUGUUCACACGUGUUCAUGUGCUUCAGCAUGCUGUGACGUUCCCAAAAUGUAUUAUAAGCCGUCACUUCCCAGGCAGCAUACAAAACCGCUUUAAUAAUUUGUGUCAAAAUUUAAACAUUUUAUCUCUGUCCACAUAAAGCAAUGAAUGUCAGUCCUGUGUUGGCCCACAACUGCAUUAAAGACAAUUAAUCAUCCAUAACUGGUCCCAAACUGUGCCAGAAUUUUAUUAUUAUUAAUUAAUUAUUAUUAAAAGUAAAGCAUAUCAAAACCAGAAACCUCAAAACU